rnacentral:misc_RNA from 1 species
GAAAUGCGAUAAGUAAUGUGAAUUGCAGAAUUCAGUGAAUCAUCGAAUCUUUGAACGCACCUUGCGCUCCUUGGUAUUCCGAGGAGCAUGCCUGUUUGAGUGUCAUUAAAUUCUCAAUCUCUACAGCUUUGUGUUGUUUAGAUUGGAAGUGGAGGCUUGUGUGGAAUUCAAUUCCUCACUCCUCUUAAAUGCAUUAGCUGGAAUGCCUCUGCAUGUCUGACUAUCAGUGUGAUAAUUAUCUAUGCUGUAGUUGUUGCAUGAGGGUAUCUGCUUCAUAAAUCGUCGCAAGACAAUUCUUUAUGACCAUCUUGACCUCAAAUCAGGUAGGACUACCCGCUGAACUUAAGC